UGGCCGCAGUACUUUGACUGUGCUAAGGUAGCAUAAUAAAUUGACUUUUAAUUGAAGUCUAGAAUGAAAGGAUUAAUGAAUAUUAACUGUCUUAAUUAAAAGUUUUAUAAUUUUCUUAUAAGGUGAAAAUUCCUUUAAGUUAAUUUAAUAGACGAGAAGACCCUAGGAGUUUGAAUUUUGUUGGGGCAACAUUAUAACAUAUCAAACUAUAAGAUAAAUAUAUUUUAUUAAAAGAUGUUUUUAAUAAUAAAUAAGCUACCCUAGGGAUAACAGCAUAAUUUAUUUUGGUUAAGUUUAUGACCUCGAUGUUGGAUUAGGAACUCUUAAUAUUAAUUAUAUUAAUUGAUUGUUCUGUUCGAACAUUAUAUCCUACGUGAUCUGAGUUCAGACCAG
rnacentral:rRNA from 1 species